rnacentral:rRNA from 1 species
GAUGAACGCUGGCGGCGUGCCUAAUACAUGCAAGUCGAGCGAACAGAUGAGGAGCUUGCUCCUCUGACGUUAGCGGCGGACGGGUGAGUAACACGUGGAUAACCUACCUAUAAGACUGGGAUAACUUCGGGAAACCGGAGCUAAUACCGGAUAAUAUAUUGAACCGCAUGGUUCAAUAGUGAAAGACGGUUUUGCUGUCACUUAUAGAUGGAUCCGCGCCGCAUUAGCUAGUUGGUAAGGUAACGGCUUACCAAGGCAACGAUGCGUAGCCGACCUGAGAGGGUGAUCAGCCACACUGGAACUGAGACACGGUCCAGACUCCUACGGGAGGCAGCAGUAGGGAAUAUUCCGCAAUGGGCGAAAGCCUGACGCAGCAACGCCGCGUGAGUGAUGAAGGUCUUCGGAUCGUAAAACUCUGUUAUUAGGGAAGAACAAAUGUAUAAGUAACUAUGCCCGUCUUGACGGUACCUAAUCAGAAAGCCACGGCUAACUACGUG